GGUUAAGCGACUAAGCGUACACGGUGGAUGCCCUGGCAGUCAGAGGCGAUGAAGGACGUGCUAAUCUGCGAUAAGCGUCGGUAAGGUGAUAUGAACCGUUAUAACCGGCGAUUUCCGAAUGGGGAAACCCAGUGUGAUUCGUCACACUAUCAUUAACUGAAUCCAUAGGUUAAUGAGGCGAACCGGGGGAACUGAAACAUCUAAGUACCCCGAGGAAAAGAAAUCAACCGAGAUUCCCCCAGUAGCGGCGAGCGAACGGGGAGCAGCCCAGAGCCUGAAUCAGUGUGUGUGUUAGUGGAAGCGUCUGGAAAGGCGCGCGAUACAGGGUGACAGCCCCGUACACAAAAAUGCACAUGCUGUGAGCUCGAUGAGUAGGGCGGGACACGUGGUAUCCUGUCUGAAUAUGGGGGGACCAUCCUCCAAGGCUAAAUACUCCUGACUGACCGAUAGUGAACCAGUACCGUGAGGGAAAGGCGAAAAGAACCCCGGCGAGGGGAGUGAAAAAGAACCUGAAACCGUGUACGUACAAGCAGUGGGAGCACGCUUAGGCGUGUGACUGCGUACCUUUUGUAUAAUGGGUCAGCGACUUAUAUUCUGUAGCAAGGUUAACCGAAUAGGGGAGCCGAAGGGAAACCGAGUCUUAACUGGGCGUUAAGUUGCAGGGUAUAGACCCGAAACCCGGUGAUCUAGCCAUGGGCAGGUUGAAGGUUGGGUAACACUAACUGGAGGACCGAACCGACUAAUGUUGAAAAAUUAGCGGAUGACUUGUGGCUGGGGGUGAAAGGCCAAUCAAACCGGGAGAUAGCUGGUUCUCCCCGAAAGCUAUUUAGGUAGCGCCUCGUGAAUUCAUCUCCGGGGGUAGAGCACUGUUUCGGCAAGGGGUCAUCCCGACUUACCAACCCGAUGCAAACUGCGAAUACCGGAGAAUGUUAUCACGGGAGACACACGGCGGGUGCUAACGUCCGUCGUGAAGAGGGAAACAACCCAGACCGCCAGCUAAGGUCCCAAAGUCAUGGUUAAGUGGGAAACGAUGUGGGAAGGCCCAGACAGCCAGGAUGUUGGCUUAGAAGCAGCCAUCAUUUAAAGAAAGCGUAAUAGCUCACUGGUCGAGUCGGCCUGCGCGGAAGAUGUAACGGGGCUAAACCAUGCACCGAAGCUGCGGCAGCGACGCUUAUGCGUUGUUGGGUAGGGGAGCGUUCUGUAAGCCUGUGAAGGUGUGCUGUGAGGCAUGCUGGAGGUAUCAGAAGUGCGAAUGCUGACAUAAGUAACGAUAAAGCGGGUGAAAAGCCCGCUCGCCGGAAGACCAAGGGUUCCUGUCCAACGUUAAUCGGGGCAGGGUGAGUCGACCCCUAAGGCGAGGCCGAAAGGCGUAGUCGAUGGGAAACAGGUUAAUAUUCCUGUACUUGGUGUUACUGCGAAGGGGGGACGGAGAAGGCUAUGUUGGCCGGGCGACGGUUGUCCCGGUUUAAGCGUGUAGGCUGGUUUUCCAGGCAAAUCCGGAAAAUCAAGGCUGAGGCGUGAUGACGAGGCACUACGGUGCUGAAGCAACAAAUGCCCUGCUUCCAGGAAAAGCCUCUAAGCAUCAGGUAACAUCAAAUCGUACCCCAAACCGACACAGGUGGUCAGGUAGAGAAUACCAAGGCGCUUGAGAGAACUCGGGUGAAGGAACUAGGCAAAAUGGUGCCGUAACUUCGGGAGAAGGCACGCUGAUAUGUAGGUGAAGUCCCUCGCGGAUGGAGCUGAAAUCAGUCGAAGAUACCAGCUGGCUGCAACUGUUUAUUAAAAACACAGCACUGUGCAAACACGAAAGUGGACGUAUACGGUGUGACGCCUGCCCGGUGCCGGAAGGUUAAUUGAUGGGGUCAGCGCAAGCGAAGCUCUUGAUCGAAGCCCCGGUAAACGGCGGCCGUAACUAUAACGGUCCUAAGGUAGCGAAAUUCCUUGUCGGGUAAGUUCCGACCUGCACGAAUGGCGUAAUGAUGGCCAGGCUGUCUCCACCCGAGACUCAGUGAAAUUGAACUCGCUGUGAAGAUGCAGUGUACCCGCGGCAAGACGGAAAGACCCCGUGAACCUUUACUAUAGCUUGACACUGAACAUUGAGCCUUGAUGUGUAGGAUAGGUGGGAGGCUUAGAAGUGUGGACGCCAGUCUGCAUGGAGCCGACCUUGAAAUACCACCCUUUAAUGUUUGAUGUUCUAACGUUGACCCGUAAUCCGGGUUGCGGACAGUGUCUGGUGGGUAGUUUGACUGGGGCGGUCUCCUCCUAAAGAGUAACGGAGGAGCACGAAGGUUGGCUAAUCCUGGUCGGACAUCAGGAGGUUAGUGCAAUGGCAUAAGCCAGCUUGACUGCGAGCGUGACGGCGCGAGCAGGUGCGAAAGCAGGUCAUAGUGAUCCGGUGGUUCUGAAUGGAAGGGCCAUCGCUCAACGGAUAAAAGGUACUCCGGGGAUAACAGGCUGAUACCGCCCAAGAGUUCAUAUCGACGGCGGUGUUUGGCACCUCGAUGUCGGCUCAUCACAUCCUGGGGCUGAAGUAGGUCCCAAGGGUAUGGCUGUUCGCCAUUUAAAGUGGUACGCGAGCUGGGUUUAGAACGUCGUGAGACAGUUCGGUCCCUAUCUGCCGUGGGCGCUGGAGAACUGAGGGGGGCUGCUCCUAGUACGAGAGGACCGGAGUGGACGCAUCACUGGUGUUCGGGUUGUCAUGCCAAUGGCACUGCCCGGUAGCUAAAUGCGGAAGAGAUAAGUGCUGAAAGCAUCUAAGCACGAAACUUGCCCCGAGAUGAGUUCUCCCUGACUCCUUGAGAGUCCUGAAGGAACGUUGAAGACGACGACGUUGAUAGGCCGGGUGUGUAAGCGCAGCGAUGCGUUGAGCUAACCGGUACUAAUGAACCGUGAGGCUUAACCUU
rnacentral:rRNA from 1 species